AGGGUGGGGCUUUUCUCGACACGUGUCAGCUCGGUAGGUUGGCAGUGUGGCUCACGCGUUCUGCUUUAACGAGUGCGUGCUUUACUUUCCGUUGCUUUUUGCGUUAAGUGAAUUUCACGCAAAUGGCUUUGGGCUUCGUUUGUGAUGUGGGAUUUUGGGCCUCGCAGACUGGAUGCUAUUUGGGCUCUUAUUUGUAGUUUUUUUGGCUAUUAGUCUGGUAUUCAUACGUGUCUUAUAUUUUAUUUGAUUCCAUUCCCCUUCUCGAUUCCGCGUUUCCCUUCACCUCCCCCCCCACCCCCCACAAAGUUCCUUUUGCAAAACGGUUGUAGCUAUGGCAUUCAAUCAUCAAUCCCCACUACGUCUGCUUCAUUGCUUAUUAACUCAUCAUCGCUCUUGGACAAUCUUUACCUUCUAAAUCAGAAAACCCUUAAUCGUUUUAUCUUAUCCACGACAAUGGCAACUCGACGGCCCCACUUCUCUGAGCUAAAGGCUGGCCGCUGCAGUUAGAGUGUUAUCACGAGGCUUCUUUGUUUCUGGGAAGCUCGAAACUUUAAGAAAGGUGGAGAGUUGCGGCCAUUGAUGUGGUACUGGUCGAUGAGAAGGUAACAACUCUUGGUCUUGAUUUCGCUUUAAUAACAUGCAUCCUUACGAAAUAAGCUGAUUACGUGUUAUGUUCAAGUGGGUUGCAGUCCGCUUUCAUCCAUGCCUCAAUCAAUUUUCAUCGGCUCAUACUUUCAGAAACAUCCUGAAGGAGGCAGGCUCUCUGACCUAAGUCUGUGUGAUGUAACAAGGAGCAACCAAAGCUUUUGACUGUCAAAAUUCAAAUACAUAUCUACCACUGCCUCUCAUGUUUUUCUGCGACACUUCCAGGUUCUAGCCACUCACAAUCUGUACGGACGUCACAGGAGCUUUGUUCUUUGGACGAGGAGUGCUGGCUCUGCUUCUGGAGCUAGACCAUUUUGCUCCCUUGAAGAGGCUUGAUGUACCGAUUACUGACUAGACAAUUCAAACGACACAAUGAAGAUACACAUAAAACUGAGGGUAUUAAUACUACCAUCCGUUUCAAAGGCUGAUACCGGACUGACUACGGUUCGUCAACAUGGAGGUGUUAAGAAGAUUGAGUCAAUACCACUGUCGGAGCUGAAUCCAUAUGUACUGAGUUCACUCCCCAGGUUGUACACUCUUCAAAGAAGGCACACCAUGGUUGAACUUUAGAGCCUGGGAGUCCAUGAUAUUGUUUUAUAUUUUCACAGUUACUCUAAUCCUUUUUUUAUUUAAUUCCAAAAAUUUGUAGCAUCAAUAUGUUCCAGUUCAUGUCUUUUGUGUCGGUGUUUUGAAUUUGGCUGUUUAAAACAUUUUCGUACCCAUCAAGAAAAUAUGGUUAAAAAGUUCACCUCAUCUUCGUAUUGAAAAAUUCAUAUCUUCACUUGGAAAUUAAAAUUCGCAACUAUGGUCCACUUACCAACGAUUGAAGAGGCUUUGUUUUUUUUUUGUUUUUCGUUUUUCCAAAAGAAGCAUAGUAAAACUGAAUCAAGAAAGUGCUUGCUUAUGUGAUUUUUAACAAACAUGAGAUAAACUGAUUUUCUUUAAUUAACUCUUGGUCAGUAUUAGUUUAGAAUUUUAUACUAAGAGACUAUAUGAUCUGGUUGUAAAUAACUACAAGAUGUUUAAACAUUAUUAUGAAUCUCCCACUUAAAGAAGACAAUUCACAUGAAUCAUAUGUUGAGAAAUAAGCAACCAGAAAGCAAACUAAUUUUUUUAAUUAUUAAUCACAAUUUCCAUGGCAAUUUAACCAUUUCCUACGAUCUCCACAAUCAUUCUUUUGGAAUAAAAUUGAUGUACUUUAAAAUUUUUGAUAAAUAUUGUAUUUUAAGGAUAUGCUAUGAUUCCUCCGUCAAGACGUUCCACUUUCCAAAUAAGCUCCUUUUGUGAAAUAUAACUUUCUCACGCCUGUAUCACUCUCUACACCACCAGCUUCUUCUACAAUCACAACUCCAGCAACAUGAUCCCAUAUCUUCUCUUUGUAAGUCACUGCGCAAUCUUUAUAAAUACUUCUGCGUCUCCACAUGCAAUCGCUGCAUACUUCACCAUGAUGUACACUAGCAUAGGCAUUUCCUCAUGAGACGUAAAGGACAAAACAAAGAUUCGUUUGUAUUGUAACACUAAGAGAAUAUUUGAAUAAAUAAACACCGUUAGUUUACCUAACUCCUGCGGUUUUCAAAUGAUUAGAUUUAUCACUUUCCACUAGCUCACAAACUGUAACUAAAACCGGGUCAUCUGACUGUUGAAACCUUAACCACCACCUCUCUUUGCAUACAUGACACACCCUUUUGAUACUGAUCCAGCUCGGUAGCAACGAUACUUUGGCACUCUUUCUUGAUCGGACAGAUAAGAAAUUAGGCUAAAUAUCAAUAAACAAACUAAUUAACUGUCCACUAAAAAAUAUGUAGUUUAUACAAUAUCUAAAAGUGGGAGCUCCAGUGAUGAUAACUGAAAUGAAUUAUAUAAAAUUAACUCAGUUAAAAUUCAUGCGAAGCAUAGCUAUGACCCAAUUCGUUAGGAAACAUAUUUUUUAUGAGCAAUUAAAGAUGAAUAAAGGUUAUUCUUACAAUAGAGGUCUUCUCUCUUCUACCCUUAUCAAUAAGAAAAAUCACAUAUUGUUAAUAUACUGAUCGAAGCCGGUCAAUUUAAAGACUACAACAAGAACGCGACAUCAAGACUGAACGUCGAUUUCAUCAUCACCGACCUAGAUCAUACUAAUAGGCCUCCAAAAACUGAAGAAUAAAACGAUACAUACAUAGUACGUUUCGGAGAUUACAACAACGGAAGCAAUCUUUGUUCUCUUAUUUGCGGUCAUGAUUUCCAGUUCACAUGCAUUAACAGUGGCUUGCAUAAACUAAAUAUACCAAUUCUACAAUGUUCAAGUAUUAUCUACGUUGCAAACAUCAUCAGCUUUUCCUGCUGCGGAGAAACACCAUGAACAAAUACCCAAAAUAGAAAACCCGUUAAAAUUAUAUGUCCGAACCCGGCGCGUAGCGCCGGCAUACCACUAGUAUCCUAGAAAGUAUUUCACAAUAAUUUUUUAUUAUCUAUAUAAAUUUCUCCAAGGUAUUGAUGAGUCUCUCAAAAAAAAAAUCUGGGAAUCUCUUUACACAAAAGGGAUGAUUGGUGUAAAUGAUUUAGACAUCUAAAAUUUAGUAUAGAAUCAUAUAUAUCAAUCAAUCAAGUUUUCAUUUCUUUAAAUCUUUAGAAAAUUAAAAGCUGUAGAUUUAUGUCCAGAAUUAAAUAAAAAUAUAUAUUGUUUUCCAAAACUAUAGCACAAAAAUUUACAGCAACUUAAAUUUUACAUCAGAAAACAUAAAGUUAUCGCUCAUUCAAAUCAUCCCCAAAGACUAUAAAUCCAGUGAGCAUAUCAAAAGCUUUGGAACAUAUGCUACUGUAUAAGGAUAUAUAUAUAUUCUUACAAAAAUUAUGUACUAAGAAACAAAAAUAU